rnacentral:misc_RNA from 1 species
AGUUCUCAACCUUCUUCAUUUUUGAUGAAAAGGCUUGGACUUUGGAGGCUUUUGCCGGCCUCUCUUCAUCGAGGUCGGCUCCUCUUAAAUGCAUUAGUAGGAUCCCUUCUUGCUGGUCCUCGACGUGAUAAGACUUUUCUACGUCUGGAACUUAGCUAUGAGGCCUGCUUCUAAUCGUCUCUUUUGAGACAAGCCGGUCAGACCCCCCUCUGACCCGUGAACCC